CCGUCGUGAGACAGGUUA
rnacentral:ncRNA from 2 species